GGGUAUAAGAGGUGGGAGUGAUUUAGAGCUCUUCAUCCAACUUUGGCGCAUUCGAACUCUCUUGUUCACCACCACCAAGGUUGCCACCAGAAGCCCUUCGGAAUGUCCAAGCCCAAGACUCAGUUGCAACAACUUAUUGAACAAUACAUAGACCUCUACCACAGGUACUCUGGGAAUUCUGACAGCCUUGACAAGCAGGCAUUUAAGAAGAUGCUGGACGAGCAGUUUCCUGACACUGAUGAGUCUCCCUUGAAGAAACAAAAGAGAGACCAGCUCUUCCAGGAGGCAGACAUAAACAAGGACGGCAAACUGAGUUUUGCUGAAGUGGGACGCCUGGUUGCAAAAUUCGUUGCUGAAACUCAUGAAAACUCCGCAAGUAAGAAGGGCGUCCCCUUGGCCACUGGAAAAAAUAGUUCCAGCAAAUCGUUCAGGAGACGUCAGGGGAGUGUUGCAUACUAAGCUUCCAAAUAUUCACAAACCCCUAUCCCCAUUCACUAUCUUGGAAUGUAAUGCUUUGGCAACAGAAUAAGAAAUAAACAUUUAACUUGGAAAUCA